UUUUGAUACUGUUGUUAUUAUCAUGUUAACCCAGCUCUAAGUUUAGGGUUUAAAAUUACCAGUUCACUUUGUUCUUAGUUUUUGGUUUAGUAACAAAAUGAAAGAAAGAAUUGAAAUCGAAGAGUUUGUGCCAUGCAUUCCUCAUUGAGAUUAUUAUUCUUAGUUAAAUUAUCUCAAAGGAACUCUCCAUUUUAUGUAUAAGAACAUCUUUAUUACUUACUGCUGUCGUUUUUGGCAUCCCAUCUAAUGACUCAAAUUUUAUAAUGGUUUUCUUAAAACAUGUAAAGGCCCAAAUGUAAUUCAGUUUCAUCCAUGUAUUUUGGGCACUUAUCGUGUUCCAAAGGUAUCAUUAGGAGGCAUAUAUUGCAGGUAUGCUGCAUUCUUCGCGAACUUCUAUUAGGUAAGGUAGUUCUCAUAGUUGUAUCACUAUGUUACACAUGGUACUUCAAGUUUUGAUUGUAUGCCGACAAUCAUUUCAGUUAGCUUGAUAACUGUGGUUUUUGUUGUUGGAGUUUGAUCAGUUUGGAUGUCUAGGCAUGCCUUUUAUAGUGAUCUUCUUGCUGAAGUUCCGGGGUUGAAUCUAUCUUUUCACUAGACAAAGGCGAUGGAUGACUCUACUUCGCUUGCUUGAGUUUAGCAUUGUGAUGUUACAAUUUUCAGUAAGUAUGCGAUUGGCUGUGUGUCUAUAUGAACUCUGAGAUUCCUAACCUUGCAAGUGAUUUUAGUUCGGUUCUGAUCUGCGGUUUUGGGUUGACUUUCAUUUUGUUGUUGUUAACUUAAUGCAUUUUACAAUUUGCGUGACAAAGUGAAAUAUCUUGAGUCUUAUAGCUAUAUAUAUGUAGGGUUGUUGAGUUUUAUGUUCAAGAUUUUGUGAUUUUAGGAUAGAGUAGCCAUAGGCGUACAGGCUACAGCCGCUACCACUGUAUGUAACACAAACUAAUUAAAGAAGCACUGAUAUGGGAUCUGGAAGCGAAAAACGCCAGUGUAGUUUAUUACUCUUGGUAAUCGAAAUUUUAACCUUAGACUGAGAUGAGGUUAGUUUGGUUCUUCAAGCCCAUUGCUUAUCUUCUAGCACCAAUAUAGGAUUUUGAAGUGCCAUUGUAGUCAAGGAUUUGGGGGGUUUUAAGAACCAACUGCUUACGACAUGAGUCAAAAGGCAUAGAAGUGCUAUAUUUGAUCCUUUAACCCAGAGAGCCUGAAUAUGUGAUAUAUUUUGCUAGGAAAGUGCCUGGCCUUGGUUGGGCAGAAUUUUCUAUAGCCUUCACUCUUGAGAUUCUAUUACUUGAUAAUUUUUUCAAGUUGGGUGACCCUGAUAAUGAGUCUUACAUGGCGUAGUAUGUGAAACAUGUUACUAUUAUUAACCGUCUUCUCCAGAUCCUUCAUUACUUGGAACGUUGUACCCGGCUUAGCUGCUUGAACGAACGGCUUUUAGAGCUUUCAGAGCAUCAAAUGAAGACAGAAAUUAGGUCAACUUAAUUUAACCAUGGCGUCAUCCUUGAAACCAAUGCGACAUGCGUCUUUCUCUCUUAAUACAGUUAGUAAUUUCUGCUAGCUUUUAAUAGUUAUGUAGCAUCUAAUUAAUUGUAUUGCAGGGAACCCACCAUCCUAAUUAGGAAGACAGUGUGUUAUUAUUAACCUGAGGAAGCUCUAUGUUGUCUUUGAAAAUGUAAAGAAGCUCCUACUCAGUGCAGCUUCUUCACAUCGUAAGUUGUCUAUUGCACCAUGCCCCUCAAAAGCAGAAAAAAAAAAAACUUUCUUAGUGACUACUUCAACUGUUAUCUUCCCAACGUGGGGACAAUGUAGGUGGUGACAAUCGCAAGUUAAUUUUUAUUGAUGACCUAUUUUGUUAAUUCUUAUAUAUUGUAUUGUAGGUUGAAAAUCUAACAAGUUAAACAGACAACAUAAUCAUAUUUGACCAUGUUAUGUGGUUUACUGAACUAGGUGUUGUAUCAUCAAUUUAAGUUAUUGAAGCAAAUGAUUGUGAAUUUCAGACCUUAUCUUCUUUCUCCUGGAAGCCGGUCUCAGGAACACCUUAGUUCAGUACUUGACAAACAAUCAAUAUCGGUAAUAGCGUCUGCCAUGCAUACUGUUGUUGCUGCUUUAUUUUACUUGCAAGGAUUUGACAUGAAGCAGCGGGAAAGUCGGAAUGAGAGGGAAGCUAAGCUUGGUACAGUGUUUUUUGUUUUGUUUUGUGAGGAAUGGUCUCAAUAGUCAUGUACCAAUUGUAAGGACGAUGAUUUUUCUAGAUGCCACAAAGCAAGUGGUAACAUUACGAUAUUAACAACCUUAUUAACUCAAGAGA